rnacentral:tRNA from 1 species
GCGAAAGUGGCGGAAUUGGUAGACGCGCUGGCUUUAGGUGCCAGUGGGAUUAUCCCGUGAGAGUUCGAGUCUCUCCUUUCGCACCA